GGUGGCUCAGUGGUAGAGUGCUUGCCUUGCAUGCAUAAGGCCCUGGGUUCGAUUCCUCAGUACCA
rfam:Dipodomys ordii contig_22642, whole genome shotgun sequence.